AUUCUUUUGUGCACAAGAAGUAUAACUGGGUUUCCACACUGCUGUCUGAGAUAUGCCUCCUUCAAAUCUUGUUACAACAUUGCCACAUUACCCAUCUGACU
rfam:Cavia porcellus supercont2_44 genomic scaffold, whole genome shotgun sequence.